GCCUAGUGGUCGAGUGGCAAGGACACUUGCCUCUCACCCUGGAGUCCCGGGUUUGAUCCCCCGGAGCUAGAAUU
rnacentral:tRNA from 1 species